CCUACGGGAGGCAGCAGUGGGGAAUAUUGCACAAUGGGGGGAACCUUGAAGCAGCAACGCCGCGUGGGUGAAUAAGUACCUCGGUAUGUAAAGCCCUUUUAGCAGGGAAGAAAAUGCCGGUACGUGACCAAGAAGCACCGGCUAACUACGUGCCAGCAGCCGCGGGAAUCCGUAGGGGGCAAGCGGUAUCCGGAUUUACUGGGUGUAAAGGGAGCGUAGGCGGGAAGGCAAGUGUGGAGUGAAAGCCCGGGGCCCAACCACGGGACUGCUUUUGAAACUGUGUUGCUGGAGUGCAGGAGGGGUAGGCGGAAUGCCUGGUGUAGCGGUGAAAUGCGUAGAUAUUAGGCAGAACACCGGUUGCGAAGGCAGCUUACUGGACUGUAACUGACGUUGAGGCUCGAAGGCGUGGGGAGCAAACAGGAUUAGAUACCCUUGUAGUC
rnacentral:rRNA from 1 species